rnacentral:rRNA from 1 species
UUUGGAGGCCGUACCACCUUUUCAAUGUCUGAUCUCGCAUGAUCUCAGAGUCUAAGCAGGUUUGGGUCUGGUCACUACUGGAUGGAUGGCCAUUGGGAAUAACAGGUGCUGUAGAGA